rnacentral:rRNA from 1 species
ACGUAGGGGGCUAGCGUUGUCCGGAAUUACUGGGCGUAAAGGGUGCGUAGGCGGUAUUUUAAGUCAGAUGUGAAAUACCCGGGCUUAACCCGGGGGGUGCAUUUGAAACUGGGAUACUUGAGUGCAGGAGAGGUAAGUGGAAUUCCUAGUGUAGCGGUGAAAUGCGUAGAUAUUAGGAGGAACACCAGUGGCGAAGGCGACUUACUGGACUGUAACUGACGCUGAGGCACGAAAGCGUGGGGAGCAAACAG